rnacentral:rRNA from 1 species
UAGUCCACGCCGUAAACGAUGAUUACUCGUUGUUGGCGAUACAUAGUCAGCGACUGAGCGAAAGCAUUAAGUAAUCCACCUGGGGAGUACGUUGGCAACAAUGAAACUCAAAGGAAUUGACGGGGGUCCGCACAAGCGGAGGAACAUGUGGUUUAAUUCGAUGAUACGCGAGGAACCUUACCUGGACUUAAAUGUAGAUUGACAGGUUUUAGAGAUAGACUUUUCUUCGGACAAUUUACAAGGUGCUGCAUGGUUGUCGUCAGCUCGUGCCGUGAGGUGUCGGGUUAAGUCCCAUAACGAGCGCAACCCCUAUUGUUAGUUACCAGCACGUUACGGUGGGGACUCUAACAAGACUGCCGGUGUAAACCGAGAGGAAGGUGGGGAUGACGUCAAGUCCUCAUGGCCCUUACAUCCAGGGCUACACACGUGCUACAAUGGGAGGUACGAAUGCGCAGCUAGAUCGCGAGAUCAUGCCAAUCGCAAAAAGCCUUCCCCAGUUCGGAUAGGAGU